GACGAACGCUGGCGGCGUGCUUAACACAUGCAAGUCGAACGGAAAGGCCCUGCUUGCAGGGUACUCGAGUGGCGAACGGGUGAGUAACACGUGGGUGAUCUGCCCUGCACUUCGGGAUAAGCCUGGGAAACUGAGUCUAAUACCGGAUAGGAGCCAUUUUUAGUGUGAUGGUUGGAAAGUUUUUUCGGUGUAGGAUGAGCUCGCGGCCUAUCAGCUUGUUGGUGGGGUAAUGGCCUACCAAGGCGGCGACGGGUAGCCGGCCUGAGAGGGUGGACGGCCACCUUGGGACUGAGGGACGGCCCAGACACCUACGGGAGGCAGCAGUGGGGAAUAUUGCACAAUGGGCGCAAGCCUGAUGCAGCGACGCCGCGUGGGGGAUGACGGCCUUCGGGUUGUAAACUCCUUUCGCUAGGGACGAAGCUUUUUGUGACGGUACCUAGAUAAGAAGCACCGGCUAACUACGUG
rnacentral:rRNA from 1 species